rnacentral:rRNA from 1 species
GACGAACGCUGGCGGCGUGCCUAAUACAUGCAAGUAGAACGCUGAAGGAGGAGCUUGCUUCUCCGGAUGAGUUGCGAACGGGUGAGUAACGCGUAGGUAACCUGCCUGGUAGCGGGGGAUAACUAUUGGAAACGAUAGCUAAUACCGCAUAAGAGUAGAUGUCGCAUGACAUUUGCUUAAAAGGUGCAACUGCACCACUACCAGAUGGACCUGCGUUGUAUUAGCUAGUUGGUGAGGUAACGGCUCACCAAGGCAACGAUACAUAGCCGACCUGAGAGGGGGAUCGGCCACACUGGGACUGAGACACGGCCCAGACGCCUACGGGAGGCAGCAGUAGGGAAUCUUCGGCAAUGGACGGAAGUCUGACCGAGCAACGCCGCGUGAGUGAAGAAGGUUUUCGGAUCGUAAAGCUCUGUUGUAAGAGAAGAACGAGUGUGAGAGUGGAAAGUUCACACUGUGACGGUAUCUUACCAGAAAGGGACGGCUAACUACGUG